rnacentral:sRNA from 1 species
UCACAUAAUUUGUAUGCAGUGUGAAGGAGCAGAAGGCAUCUUCUCACUGUGCUGCAAAUCUUUAUAGCCUUUACAAUACGGACUUCUGUGUAUAUGUUAUACUGAUUCUACUCUGCUUUUAUCCUUUGGAGCCUGGGAGACUCCCCAAAAAGAUUGAAGUUUAUAAUUGCUGAGAAGGAAAUAAAGGUGUGGUGGAAAGGUCUUCCAGAACCAGAGGCUAAGCACACAGCAGUACAAAUAUAAAUUCUUUAUUCCAGCUUCCAGAAUUCCUCCUCUUCAGCCUUGCCUGCUCACUGGAAUAAUGAAGCAAUUAAACAGUGGUGUAAAGAAGUUCCAUCCAGUGGUUGAAGUUCAGUAGAAAACAAGGAAAUAGGCUGAUGUAUAUGAAAUACACCAUCUGCACUCCGAGUCCUUCCCAGGUUCACUAAAGGGGGAGGAGGGGACACCGUUUUAGAUUUAAUUUGUACUGUACCUGAUAUGAUAUGAUUGUGAUAGUUUUCCAAUGAAUAAUUGUUAAUCUUACCUAAUUAAAAUAAUUAUAUGUUAAAUAAAAUAUGCAGAUGUUAAAUUG